AAAAAACGAGACAAAACAAUGUCGUUUUUGUCUCGUUUUAA
rnacentral:sRNA from 1 species